GGCCAUAGCUCAGCUGGGAGAGCGUCUGCCUUGCACGCAGAAGGUCGUCGGUUCGAUCCCGUCUGGCUCCACCAAU
rnacentral:tRNA from 1 species